UAUUUAUGCACAACAGGACGUAGGCCUACCUUGUAUCAAAUCCUUCAACGGACCCCCUUGAUUGGCUUUGUGCACGUGUUGGACGGCGCAUCUUCGGCGGUCUCCCUCCGUGCUGCGUCACCGCAGGAACCCCACGAGGUCAGGGCGAGUUGAAGCCCAUGUCAAGACUGCCCCCACGCUGACCUGCGCCUGACCGGCCUCCCGGCAAAAAGCCCCUGUGAAGAACAUCUGUCUCGUGGGGUUGUCUUCAGCAGCGACUCCUGACACCACCAGAUGGACGGCCUGCUGGGAGCACUGAGCUAUCGCCCACCAGACGACGGCAGGGAUCACACUUCUGGAACCCGCUCCCACACUCCUGGCCCGCGUCAUCUGUCUUUAUGUUGUUGUUGGGCCCGUUGUUGUUGUUAACGUGCGGGUUGUCAGUUCCGUCGCCUCUUUAAGUGUUAACCUUUCAGCGGCUUUGGCCUUGUGACAUGUGUGAUCUGAAAGCUGAUCGGAGGCCCAAGCUUUUGACUUGUGUGUGAGACACUGUGUGUGUGUGUGUGUGUGUGUGUGUGUGUGUGUGUGUGUGUGUGUGU
ensembl:lncRNA